UUUGACAACCCUUUAUCUACUCGAUCUUACUGUAGUCUCCUCACCCAAUUUUUUGUAUGUAUCAGAAGAUAACUUUUAUUGAACAACAUCAUGAAAUAUCAGUUUAUUUUUCAUGCUGCCAUGCCUAGGUAAUUAAAAGCCUAACAAGGCAGUCAACGUCACAGACAUAGCUAGCUAGAUAUAGAACAAUUGAUGUCGUAGCUAACUUGCUAUGACGUUAUGUCAUGAGCAGUCGUUUCCCUCCGUUUGAUUAGCUACAAUUAACGUUACUAUUUGUUAACGUUACUGUUAACGUUACUGCUAACGUUACUAGGUUCUACCGUUGGCAAACUAACGUUAACUAACUAACUGCAUUUUAACAUCAAAUGUAGCUACUGCAAUUAAGAAGCUGAAGUAUAUCCAUGCAACCGGAGGGGAAAGCCGUUCUCUUAAUACAUCCAUGGGUUUUUGAUCCAUUCACCAGGGAGGAUAAGUGUCGCCAUCUUCCAUACGCACAGCCCGGAUGUCUAAUUCAUCAUGGCACACGCAGGGUCAAAUGUGGUGGUUAGCUGCUGCUGCUAGCUCACUGUUGCAUGGUGGGACACUGAGGCUGUCUCUGAAUGCUUUGUUAUUACGGAACUUAGCUAGUGUUCCAUGAGUGGAAAUGGUACCAUUUAAGUGCACAUUAGGGCUCAGUUCAGUCAAAGUCCUUUUAAAUAUCAUCAAACUACGUUAAAAUGAUAAUUAGAACAAGUAACACUACAUUUGACUUAAAUAAAAGAAUUGCAAACCAAAA